rnacentral:rRNA from 1 species
GUGGGGAAUAUUGGACAAUGGGCGAAAGCCUGAUCCAGCCAUGCCGCGUGUGUGAAGAAGGUCUUCGGAUUGUAAAGCACUUUAAGUUGGGAGGAAGGGCAGUAAGUUAAUACCUUGCUGUUUUGACGUUACCGACAGAAUAAGCACCGGCUAACUUCGUGCCAGCAGCCGCGGUAAUACGAAGGGUGCAAGCGUUAAGCGGAAUUACUGGGCGUAAAGCGCGCGUAGGUGGUUUUGUAAGGUGGAGGUGAAAUCCCCGGGCUCAACCUGGGAACUGCCUCCAAAACUGCAUGACUAGAGUACGGUAGAGGGUAGUGGAAUUUCCUGUGUAGCGGUGAAAUGCGUAGAUAUAGGAAGGAACACCAGUGGCGAAGGCGACUACCUGGACUGAUACUGACACUGAGGUGCGAAAGCGUGGGGAGCAAACAGGAUUAGAUACCCGUGUAGUCC